rnacentral:rRNA from 1 species
GACGAACGCUGGCGGCGUGCCUAACACAUGCAAGUCGAGCGAAGAACUCCGGUUUUUAGCGGCGGACGGGUGAGUAACACGUGGGUAACCUGCCUCAAAGAGGGGGAUAGCCUCCCGAAAGGGAGAUUAAUACCGCAUAAUAUCAGGAUCUCGCACGGGAACUUGAUUAAAGGAGCAAUCCGCUCUGAGAUGGACCCGCGGCGCAUUAGCUAGUUGGUGAGGUAACGGCUCACCAAGGCGACGAUGCGUAGCCGACCUGAGAGGGUGAUCGGCCACAUUGGAACUGAGACACGGUCCAGACUCCGACGGGAGGCAGCAGUGGGGAAUAUUGCACAAUGGGCGAAAGCCUGAUGCAGCAACGCCGCGUGAGUGAUGAAGGCCUUCGGGUUGUAAAACUCUGUCUUUGGGGACGAUAAUGACGGUACCCAAGGAGGAAGCCACGGCUAACUACGUGCCAGCCGCCGCGGUAA